rnacentral:rRNA from 1 species
GACGAACGCUGGCGGCGUGCUUAACACAUGCAAGUCGAACGAUGAAGCCUAGCUUGCUAGGUGGAUUAGUGGCGAACGGGUGAGUAAUACGUGAGUGACCUACCUUUGACUCUGGGAUAAGCCUGGGAAACUGGGUCUAAUACCGGAUACGACCAAUCUCCGCAUGGGGUGUUGGUGGAAAGCGUUAUGGAGUGGUUUUAGAUGGGCUCACGGCCUAUCAGCUUGUUGGUGAGGUAAUGGCUUACCAAGGCGACGACGGGUAGCCGGCCUGAGAGGGUGACCGGCCACACUGGGACUGAGACACGGCCCAGACUCCUACGGGAGGCAGCAGUGGGGAAUAUUGCACAAUGGGCGCAAGCCUGAUGCAGCGACGCCGCGUGAGGGAUGACGGCCUUCGGGUUGUAAACCUCUGUUAGCAUCGAAGAAGCGAAAGUGACGGUAGGUGCAGAGAAAGCGCCGGCUAACUACGUGCCAGCAGCCGCGGUAAUACGUAGGGCGCGAGCGUUGUCCGGAAUUAUUGGGCGUAAAGAGCUUGUAGGCGGUUGGUCGCGUCUGCUGUGAAAGGCUGGGGCUUAACCCUGGUUUUGCAGUGGGUACGGGCUAACUAGAGUGCAGUAGGGGAGACUGGAAUUCCUGGUGUAGCGGUGGAAUGCGCAGAUAUCAGGAGGAACACCGAUGGCGAAGGCAGGUCUCUGGGCUGUAACUGACGCUGAGAAGCGAAAGCAUGGGGAGCGAACAGGAUUAGAUACCCUGGUAGUCCAUGCCGUAAACGUUGGGCACUAGGUGUGGGGGACAUUCCACGUUUUCCGCGCCGUAGCUAACGCAUUAAGUGCCCCGCCUGGGGAGUACGGCCGCAAGGCUAAAACUCAAAGAAAUUGACGGGGGCCCGCACAAGCGGCGGGGCAUGCGGAUUAAUUCGAUGCAACGCGAAGAACCUUACCAAGGCUUGACAUAUACUGGACUGCGUCAGAGAUGGCGUUUCCCUUCGGGGCUGGUGUACAGGUGGUGCAUGGUUGUCGUCAGCUCGUGUCGUGAGAUGUUGGGUUAAGUCCCGCAACGAGCGCAGCCCUCGUUCUAUGUUGCCAGCGGUUCGGCCGGGGACUCAUAGGAGACUGCCGGGGUUAACUCGGAGGAAGGUGGGGAUGACGUCAAAUCAUCAUGCCCCUUAUGUCUUGGGCUUCACGCAUGCUACAAUGGCCGGUACAGAGGGUUGCGAUACUGUGAGGUGGAGCUAAUCCCUUAAAGCCGGUCUCAGUUCGGAUUGGGGUCUGCAACUCGACCCCAUGAAGUCGGAGUCGCUAGUAAUCGCAGAUCAGCAACGCUGCGGUGAAUACGUUCCCGGGCCU